rnacentral:rRNA from 1 species
AGUGAACGCUGGCGGUAGGCCUAACACAUGCAAGUCGAACGGCAGCACAGUAAGAGCUUGCUCUUACGGGUGGCGAGUGGCGGACGGGUGAGGAAUACAUCGGAAUCUACUUUUUCGUGGGGGAUAACGUAGGGAAACUUACGCUAAUACCGCAUACGACCUACGGGUGAAAGCAGGGGAUCUUCGGACCUUGCGCGAUUGAAUGAGCCGAUGUCGGACUAGCUAGUUGGCGGGGUAAAGGCCCACCAUGGCGACGAUCCGUAGCUGGUCUGAGAGAAUGAUCGGCCACACUGGAACUGAGACACGGUCCAGACUCCUACGGGAGGCAGCAGUGGGGAAUAUUGGACAAUGGGCGCAAGCCUGAUCCAGCCAUACCGCGUGGGUGAAGAAGGCCUUCGGGUUGUAAAGCCCUUUUGUUGGGAAAGAAAAGCAGCAGGUUAAUACCCCGCUGUUCUGACGGUACCCAAAGAAUAAGCACCGGCUAACUUCGUG